rnacentral:rRNA from 1 species
CAAUAGCGUAUAUUAAAGUUGUUGCGGUUAAAAAGCUCGUAGUUGGAUUUCUGCUGAGAACGACCGGUCCGCCCUUUGGGUGUGUAUCUGGCUCUUUCUUGGCAUCUUCUUGGUGAACGUUGCUGCACUUGACUGUGUGGAGCGCUACCCAGGACUUUUACUUUGAGGAAAUUAGAGUGUUUCAAGCAGGCAUACGCCUUGAAUACAUUAGCAUGGAAUAAUAAGAUAGGACCUCGGUUCUAUUUUGUUGGUUUCUAGAGCUGAGGUAAUGAUUAAUAGGGAUAGUUGGGGGCAUUCGUAUUUAAAGACGGACUACUGCGAAAGCAUUUGCCAAGGAUGUUUUCAUUGA